rnacentral:rRNA from 1 species
AUUGAACGCUGGCGGCAGGCCUAACACAUGCAAGUCGAACGAGUGGCGGACGGGUGAGUAAUGUCUGGGAAACUGACCGAUGGAGGGGGAUAACUACUGGAAACGGUAGCUAAUACCGCAUACCAUCGGAUGUGCCCCGAUCGGAUUAGCUAGUAGGUGGGGUAAAGGCUCACGUAGGCGACGAUCCCUAGCUGGUCUGAGAGGAUGACCAGCCACACGGGAACUGAGACACGGUCCAGACGCCUACGGGAGGCAGCAGUGGGGAAUAUGGGACAAUGGGCGCAAGCCUGAUGCAGCCAGGCCGCGUGUAUGAAGAAGGCCUUCGGGUUGUAAAGUACUUUCAGCGGGGAGGCGUUACCCGCAGAAGAAGCACCGGCUAACUCCGUGCCAGCCGCCGCGGUAAUUC